rnacentral:rRNA from 1 species
CAACUUUCAACAAUGGAUCUCUUGGCUCUGGCAUCGAUGGAAAGGAAAGGCAACUGAAAUUGCGAUUAAAGUAGUUGUGAAUUUGCAGGAAUUCAAGUGAAUUCAUCGAAAUCUUUUGGAACGCCACCAUUGCCGCCCCCUUGGGUAUUUCCCAUGGGGGCAUGCCUUGUUUCGGAGGCGUUCAUCU